rnacentral:rRNA from 1 species
AGCGAACGCUGGCGGCAGGCCUAACACAUGCAAGUCGAACGAACUCUUCGGAGUUAGUGGCGGACGGGUGAGUAACACGUGGGCACGGGCCUUUAGGUUCGGGAUAACUCAGGGAGACUUGUGCUAAUACCGAAUGUGCCCUUGCGGGGAAAGAUUUAUCGCCUUUAGAGCGGCCCGCGUCUGAUUAGCUAGUUGGUGCGGUAAAGGCUCACCAAGGCGACGAGCAGUAGCUGGUCUGAGAGGAUGAUCAGCCACAUUGGGACUGAGACACGGCCCAAACUCCUACGGGAGGCAGCAGUGGGGAAUCUUGCGCAAUGGGCGAAAGCCUGACGCAGCCAUGCCGCGUGAAUGAUGAAGGUCUUAGGAUUGUAAAAUUCUUUCACCGGGGACGAUAAUGACGGUACCCGGAGAAGAAGCCCCGGCUAACUUCGUGCCAGCCGCCGCGGUAA